GAUGAACGCUGGCGGCGUGCCUAAUACAUGCAAGUCGAGCGAACAGACGAGGAGCUUGCUCCUCUGACGUUAGCGGCGGACGGGUGAGUAACACGUGGAUAACCUACCUAUAAGACUGGGAUAACUUCGGGAAACCGGAGCUCAUACCGGAUAAUAUAUUGAACCGCAUGGUUCAAUAGUGAAAGUCGGUUUUGCUGUCACUUGUAGAUGUAUCCGCUCCGCAUUAGCUAGUUGGUAAGGUAACGGCUUACCAAGGCAACGAUGCGUAGCCGACCUGAGAGGGUGAUAGGCAAAGCAGGAACGGAGACACGGUACAGAAUCCUACGGGAGGCAGGAGUAGGGAAACUACCGAAAUGGGCGAAAGACUGAAGGAGAAAAGCCGCGUGAGUGAUGAAGGUCUUCGGAUCGUAAAACUCUGUUAGUAGGGAAGAACAAAUGUGUAAGUAACUAUGCACGUAUUGACGGUACCGAAUCAGAAAGCCACGGCUAACUACGU
rnacentral:rRNA from 1 species